AGACAGGAAAUCCAGUGGCGUAGUGGUUCUACUGUUUGUUGAACAUGACAUGCAUUUGCGUGAGCAGUAGAGAUACGUUCAAGUGUGUACCUUUAGCUUUUAGCAUCUGUCUUGGUCACCGGAUGACUGGACUAGACAGGACGAAAGGUGGGCUCUCUCACGUGCCUGUAUGCAGGAAAGUGAGUGUGUGAAUGACCUUUCCAUCAACACGUGGUUUCCAUGUCGAAAGCAACGGCUGUCAAGCUUGCUGUCCUCGUCUUCCUCGCCUUCAUCAUUUGCCUGCCAGAGUACUUUCCGUCUGACACAGAUCCAGUGUUGCAGAUCCCAUUUUACUGUUUGUCCUUUGACCCCUGUGACCCUAUGAGUGGACAAGGUCUUAAAGAUGGACAGAUCUGUCAGGAGUACAGGAAUAUAAGCAAGAUUAACGCCCUAUGCGAAGAGGAGACAAAAGAGAGCAUGAUCAGCCAAGACAAAGUGGUGCAGGACUGGUUUGUGUGUGAGACUGAGGCUGACCUAUGGAGUCUCCAUGACAACGCCUUGCUCUCAGAACUAGACGUGGUCUUGAUGCUACAGGUCACAAAUCAGACUUUCCAGAAUGUGACCAUGCAUGGUCAUUUCAACCAAAGUGGACUGCACAUAGACACCUGCCUGAACUUCACUCUGUUAGACUGUUGCGCCCAAAGAGACUGCGCAUAUCCAAACAAAGUCAAGGCAAGCCCAACCUCCCACAAACCAGUUACACCAAAUGGACUGUCCACAGUGCCUUCAUCAGGAGAAACAGACUCUAUCUCUAAUCUCAAGUGUCAAUCAAACAGAAGCCAGUGCCUCUUUCGCUAUGUAGGAUACAACGUUAUCAAAACAUCUACUAAGGAAGUGAGGUGGUGGGGUUUUGGCGCUGCUGUGUGGAUGAUUCUGGUACUCAUUGUGGUUGUAGUGGUCAUGCUAAGUGUCUGGGCUCAGGUCUGCACAAGCAGAAGCUGCUUCCAUGCACACUCGGCACCGGUUUCAGUCACUGCCCGUCGGCCUAAGAGCUUCUCCAAACGAAGAGUUAAGUCUUUAGGUGAUUUGCCUGAUAUUUCCCUCUCAGUAUGGAGCACAGAAGGUAUGUACAUGUGCGCCUGCUGGCAUUUGGUUUGUUGACAUGCCUUUUUGCACAUAUAGUGGUAGUGCAGAAUGGAGCUACAUGAAUGAGAACUUGUCUUUAUCCCUCUUUUGAAGGGUUUGAAAACUUUCAUCUAUCCCCUCCAGGCAUUUUACAGCUUUCUGAGCUCAAACAAUAAAUAAAUAAAUAAACACGUUCAAUCUACCUUGAGGAUUAUAUGAAAAGAGGGCACCAAAGUUUUUCUCUUCUUCUGAUGCUAGAAGUUUUGGAGAACAAAGGUUCUCUGAGGGCAGAAAGCAUGAUUGUUACGUUACAUCUAACAGCCAUGUAAGCCUUUAAAAUGUCUCUGUCAUACAUCUGUCCUCAGAUGAAGAGCUGUUCUUAGAGAAGAUGCCAAAGGAUUACUCAAGAGGUAAAAGAAGAAGGUUACCCUUUAUAAGAUUGUGCUGGGCUUUGUCCCAAAAUGCCACUCUAGCUUUGACAUUUUGAUGGACAUAUAUGGAGAACAUUGUUGGUCUCCAUUUGCUACUUGGGCAGUGAUGUUAUUCAUAAUUUGCUGGUGUCAGUCUGACUUUUUUGUUCUUGUCAAAUAUCACAAUCUUGAUUCCACUGUUCACACAGUGGCCAGUUUAUUGGAAACUCCUAUCCUGAACUUCCACUCUGCUGGUGUACAGUUAGACACUGCAGUCCAUCUGUUGAGAUAUAAUUUGUGCUCAUCCUCUUGUCCCUCACCAGUGGUCAGUUUCUGACCACAGAGCUGCUAUAAGCUGGACAUUUUUGGCUGGUUCACCACCCAAAUAAUACCUGGUCAAUGAUGGUGUUAAUAAAUUGUGCAGCAACAGAGGGGCUGUGGGUGUUUCUAAUAAAGUGGCCAGUGAGUGGACGUAUAAGGUGGGUGUUUCUGAUAAAGUAGCCAGUGAGUGGACGUAUAAGGUAGGUGUUUCUGAUAAAGUGGCCAGUGAGGGAAGGAAAAAAGCUAGGUGUUUCUAAUAAAGGGGCCAGUGAGUGGACGUAUAAGGUGGGUGUUUCUAAUAAAGUGGCCAGUGUGUGGACGUAUAAGGUAGGUGUUUCUAAUAAAGUGGCCAGUGAGUGGAAGUAUAAGGUGGGUGUUUCUAAUAAAGUGGCCAGUGUGUGGACGUAUAAGGUAGGUGUUUCUAAUAAAGUGGCCAGUGAGUGGAAGUAUAAGGUAGGUGUUUCUAAUAAAGUGGCCAGUGAGGGGAAGUACAAGGUAGGUGUUUCUAAUAAAGUGGCCAGUGAGGGGAAGUACAAGGUAGGUGUUUCUAAUAAAGUGGCCAGUGAGUGGAAGCAAAAGACAGGUGUUUGUAAUAGUGGCCGUUAUGUGCAACUAUAUAGUGGGUGUUUCUAAUAAAAUGGCCAGUGAGUGGUAGUGCAAGGUAGAGUGGCAAGAAGAUAUAGUUGGUAAUGUUGCUUAAUGAACUCGAAUCAAACUUUCAGAAGAAGUUUCAGAGGAACUGCAAAGCAUUGAUUUAGAGAGUUGUCUGUACUGACGUCUUCUUUGGCUUCCAGUUCUGGAGGGCUAAACAUUCCCUAGUUCAGUGGACUUUUCUUCUGAACUAAAAACUUGUUUCAUUUUUUCACAGAAUGCCUCCAUUUGUCACAUCAGGAAAUGUACAAGCGAGGUAAGAGCCUGGCUGUGGGAGCAAACUAGCAUUGGUCUUGCAAACACUCACAGUCUUA
ensembl:lncRNA